rnacentral:rRNA from 1 species
GAUGAACGCUGGCGGCGUGCCUAAUACAUGCAAGUCGAGCGAACAGAUAAGGAGCUUGCUCCUUUGACGUUAGCGGCGGACGGGUGAGUAACACGUGGGUAACCUACCUAUAAGACUGGAAUAACUCCGGGAAACCGGGGCUAAUGCCGGAUAACAUUUAGAACCGCAUGGUUCUAAAGUGAAAGAUGGUUUUACUAUCACUUAUAGAUGGACCCGCGCCGUAUUAGCUAGUUGGUAAGGUAACGGCUUACCAAGGCAACGAUACGUAGCCGACCUGAGAGGGUGAUCGGCCAAACUGGAACUGAGACACGGUACAGACUCCUACGGGAGGCAGCAGUAGGGAAUCUUCCGCAAUGGGCGAAAGCCUGACGGAGCAACGCCGCGUGAGUGAUGAAGGGCUUCGGAUCGUAAAACUAUGUUAUUAGGGAAGAACAAAUGUGUAAGUAACGGUGCACGUCUUGACGGUACCUAAUCAGAAAGCCACGGCUAACUACGU